rnacentral:rRNA from 1 species
AUUGAACGCUGGCGGCAGGCCUAACACAUGCAAGUCGAGCGGAGCGGCGGACGGGUGAGUAAUGCCUACGAAUCUGCCUGGCAGUGGGGGAUAACGUCAGGAAACGGGCGCUAAUACAGCAUCAUAUCAGAUGAGCCUAGGUCGGAUUAGCUAGUUGGUGGGGUAAAGGCGUACCAAGGCGACGAUCCGUAACUGGUCUGAGAGGAUGAUCAGUCACACUGGAACUGAGACACGGUCCAGACUCCUACGGAAGGCAGCAGUGGGGAAUAUUGGACAAUGGGCGAAAGCCUGAUCCAGCAAUGCCGCGUGAGUGAAGAAGGUCUUCGGAUUGUAAAGCGCUUUAAGUUGGGAAGCGUUACCAACAGAGUAAGCACCGGCUAACUACGUGCCAGCAGCCGCGGUAAUUC